rfam:Ictidomys tridecemlineatus contig018073, whole genome shotgun sequence.
GCUGGUGUAGCUCAGUGGCAGAGCAUUUUGCCAGAGGCUCUGGGUUCCAUUCCCAGUACCGGGC